UCUUGAGAAUAUAACUCUAUUUUUCUAUUAACAUCUAUCGUUUAUUUAUUUAUUUAUAGAUAUUUUUAUCCAUUAGAUAUUCACAUUAUCUGUCACGUCCCGGAUUACUCGUUUUUCCGGGCAUGCUAACAGACCCGCCGUAUAUAUAGAAAUUUUUUCUGUAUACGAAACGAAGCUGUACCUGUAUCUGUAAUCAUACAACACUACAACCAGUAGUAUAGAGCCGCUAAAAUAAAAGCAUAUAGAAUAAUAAAGGUUCACUAUACAUACAUAAUAUCCUGAUAUACAAAAACACUCGCUUCAGCGAAAUACAACCAUCAGUAUAUAUAAGAACCAAAACUACAACUAUCUGUAGCUGGUGCUCCUCUAGCUCUGUAACCCGUCGGGAAUGGCUCUAACUCGCAACACCCUUUUCACGAUCAGUAUCAGCAGUAGCAGCAGCCGCAACCGAAGGCUCUGCAAAUUAUCCAUAACUGGGCGUGAGAACUACUACAAAAAGAAGUAAUCCUUAGUGGGUACCAUUACCGACCUCAACGGCUCACCCACUAAGUCUACAGAUGUAUGCUUAAUGAUAGUAAAUGAAUUGGAAACAACUACAGCUACAUGUCACUAUACUAUCAUGAUCCAACACUAACUAUCUAUAAAAUAAAGCAAUCUCUGACCCAAUCUCACUAGGGACUGUGAAUACACCCGUUUCGUCUGUCGAAGCUACACAGCUACCACCAC
rnacentral:lncRNA from 1 species